rnacentral:rRNA from 1 species
UACAGAGGUCUCAAGCGUUGUUCGGAUUCAUUGGGCGUAAAGGGUGCGUAGGCGGCGCGGUAAGUCGGGUGUGAAAUCUCGGAGCUUAACUCCGAAACUGCAUUCGAUACUGCCGUGCUUGAGGACUGGAGAGGAGACUGGAAUUUACGGUGUAGCGGUGAAAUGCGUAGAUAUCGUGAGGAAGACCAGUGGCGAAGGCGGGUCUCUGGACAGUUCCUGACGCUGAGGCGCGAAGGCCAGGGGAGCAAACGGG